rnacentral:rRNA from 1 species
GACGAACGCUGGCGGCGUGCUUAACACAUGCAAGUCGAACGGAAAGGCCCCCUUGUGGGGUACUCGAGUGGCGAACGGGUGAGUAACACGUGAGUAACCUACCCUUGACUUUGGGAUAACUUCAGGAAACUGGGGCUAAUACCGGAUAGGAGCUCCUGCUGCAUGGUGGGGGUUGGAAAGUGUCGGCGGUUGGGGAUGGACUCGCGGCUUAUCAGCUUGUUGGUGGGGUAGUGGCUCACCAAGGCUUUGACGGGUAGCCGGCCUGAGAGGGUGACCGGCCACAUUGGGACUGAGAUACGGCACAGACUCCUACGGGAGGCAGCAGUGGGGAAUAGUGCACAAUGGGCGGAAGCCUGAUGCAGCAACGCCGCGUGCGGGAUGACGGCCUUCGGGUUGUAAACCGCUUUCGCCUGUGACGAAGCGUGAGUGACGGUAAUGGGUAAAGAAGCACCGGCUAACUACGUG